rfam:Hordeum vulgare subsp. vulgare, WGS project CAJW01000000 data, contig: morex_contig_40234
CUAAUGCUCCCUCCAUCUCAAAAUUCUUGUCUUAGGUUUUUUUUAGAAAUGGAUGUAUGUAAAUACCAAAACAUGACUAAAUACAUUCAUAUUUAGACAAACCUAAGACAAAUUUUGGGGCGGAGGGAGUAUGUA